GAGGGUAUAGCUCAGUGGUAUAAUGCAUGCUUAGCAUACAUGAAGUGCUAGGUUCAAGUCCCAGUACCUCCG
rnacentral:tRNA from 1 species